GGGCUCACACAAGCGGUGGAGGAUGUGGCUUAAUUCGAGGCUACGCGAAGAACCUUAUCCUAGAUUUGACAUGCUUGAGAAUUCUUUCGAAAGAUUGAAGUGCCCCUCGGGGAGCUUUUGCACAGGUGCUGCAUGGCUGUCGUCAGCUCGUGUCGUGAGAUGUCGGGUUAAGUCCCUUAACGAGCGAAACCCUUAUCUCUAGUUGCCAGCGGGUAAUGCCGGGGACUCUAGAGAGACUGCCGGUGUCAAACCGGAGGAAGGUGGGGAUGACGUCAAGUCCUCAUGGCCUUUAUGUCUAGGGCUGCACACGUCCUACAAUGGUACGGACAAACGGACGCUAAACCGCGAGGUGGAGCAAAUCCUAGAAACCGUGCCUCAGUUCGGAUUGCAGGCUGCAACUCGCCUGCAUGAAGCCGGAAUCGCUAGUAAUCGC
rnacentral:rRNA from 1 species